UGUGGGGAAUGAAUAGAGUUAAACACAAGCGACCKAAGCUUUAUAUCGUCAAUCUUCAAUGGACUCCAAAAGAUGAAUGUGCGACAUUAAAGAUAAAUGCAAAGUGUGAUGAAGUUAUGGCAAUG